rnacentral:lncRNA from 1 species
CUUAGUCGUGUGUACAUCAUUGGGAAUGGAGGGAAAUAAAUGACUGGAUGGUCGCUGCUUUUUAAGUUUCAAAUUGACAUUCCAGACAAGCGGUGCCUGAGCCCGUGCCUGUCUUCAGAUCUUCACAGCACAGUUCCUGGGAAGGUGGAGCCACCAGCCUCUCCUUGACAAGCAAAGUGGAUCAGCAAAGGCUGCAGUCACCAGCAUCUUUUCCAACCUUAAUGAACUGUAUCCUCAAAAGAACACUAUCAGACUGGCUCUGCCGACUUCCAGUUCUGGAACAAGAUGGUUAAACUCAUUUUUCCCUGCUCUGCUCCUCUAAAUACAACUAAGUACCUUGGAAACUAUUCAGCAGACAAUGAUAAAGGGCUCUGAAAGCUAGAAGAAAAGGUGUACUUGCAAGAAACCUCAGGACUUGAGUAACAGCAACAUGUUUGACUUUGAAGGAUCACUUUCCCCUGUCAUUGCGCCCAAAAAAGCCUUCCGAGACUGGAUCUGAUGAUGACUGGGAAUAUUUACUAAAUUCAGACUACCACCAGAGUGUUGAGUCUCAUCUUUUGAACAGAUCUUUAUGUCUGAGUCCUUCAGAAGCUUCACAGAUGAAGGAUGAGGAUUUUUCACAGAAUCUCAGUCUGGAUUCUUCUACACUUCUCUUUACUCACAUACCUGCAAUUUUUUUCGUUCUUCGCCUUGUGUAUGAGGAGCUUAAGUUGAAUACUCUAAUGGGAGAAGGAAUUUGUUCACUCUUGAACUUCUCGUUCAGUUGGCAAGGUCAAACAGGAUUUAUGCAUCAUCCAUCAUUUUUUACGUCUGAGCCACCAAGUAUUUAUCAGUGGGUGAGUUCUUGUCUGAAGGGCGAAGGAAUGCCGCCUUAUCCUUACCUCCCUGGAAUCUGUGAAAGAAGCAGACUUGUAGUCUUGAGUAUUGCACUGUACAUACUUGGUGAUGAGAGCUCAGUUUCUGAUGAAUCCUCACAGUAUUUAACCAGAAUAACUGUAGCCCCCCAGAAGUUGCAAGCAGAACAAGAGGAAAACAGGUUUAGUUUCAGGCAUUCUACGUCUGUUUCUAGUCUAGCUGAAAGAUUGGUUGGCUGGAUGACUAAUGUAGGAUUCACUUUAAGAGAUUUGGAAACUCUUCCCUUUGGAAUUGCUCUUCCCAUCAGAGAUGCAAUUUAUCACUGUCGUGAGCAGCCUGCCUCAGACUGGCCAGAAGCUGUCUGUCUCUUGACUGGACGUCAGGAUCUUUCCAAGCAGGCCUGCGAAGGAAACUUACCCAAAGGGAAGUCUGUGCUCUCAUCAGAUGUUCCUUCAGGUACAGAAACUGAGGAGGAAGAUGACGGCAUGAAUGACAUGAAUCACGAGGUCAUGUCAUUAAUAUGGAGUGAAGAUUUAAGGGUGCAGGAUGUGCGAAGGCUUCUUCAGAGUGCGCAUCCUGUCCGUGUCAACGUAGUGCAGUACCCAGAGCUCAGUGACCACGAGUUCAUCGAGGAAAAGGAAAACAGAUUGCUCCAAUUGUGUCAGCGAACUAUGGCUCUUCCUGUAGGACGAGGAAUGUUUACCUUGUUUUCGUACCAUCCUGUUCCAACAGAGCCAUUGCCUAUUCCUAAAUUGAAUCUGACUGGGCGUGCCCCUCCUCGGAACACAACAGUAGACCUUAAUAGUGGAAACAUCGAUGUGCCUCCCAACAUGACAAGCUGGGCCAGCUUUCAUAAUGGUGUGGCUGCUGGCCUGAAGAUAGCUCCUGCCUCCCAGAUCGACUCAGCUUGGAUUGUUUACAAUAAGCCCAAGCAUGCUGAGUUGGCCAAUGAGUAUGCUGGCUUUCUCAUGGCUCUGGGUUUGAAUGGGCACCUUACCAAGCUGGCGACUCUCAAUAUCCAUGACUACUUGACCAAGGGCCAUGAAAUGACAAGCAUUGGACUGCUACUUGGUGUUUCUGCUGCAAAACUAGGCACCAUGGAUAUGUCUAUUACUCGGCUUCUUAGCAUUCGCAUUCCUGCUCUCUUACCCCCAACGUCCACAGAGCUGGAUGUUCCUCACAAUGUCCAAGUGGCUGCAGUGGUUGGCAUUGGCCUUGUAUAUCAAGGGACAGCUCACAGACAUACUGCAGAAGUCCUGUUGGCUGAGAUAGGACGGCCUCCUGGUCCUGAAAUGGAAUACUGCACUGACAGAAAGUCAUACUCCUUAGCUGCUGGCUUGGCCCUGGGCAUGGUCUGCUUGGGGCAUGGCAGCAAUUUGAUAGGUAUGUCUGAUCUCAAUGUGCCUGAGCAGCUCUAUCAGUACAUGGUUGGAGGACAUAGGCGCUUUCAAACAGGAAUGCAUAGGGAGAAACAUAAAUCACCAAGUUAUCAAAUCAAAGUAAGAGAUACCAUAAAUGUGGAUGUGACUUGUCCAGGUGCUACUCUAGCUUUGGCUAUGAUCUACUUAAAAACCAAUAACAG